GUGAAAAGGGGUGAGUGUCAUGGUUAAGCUUGAGAGUUUUAGACUUUUUGGAAAUAAAAUGAUGAUUUUUUAAAGCAACCCAAAAAAGGGGUGAUACUAGUGGUCACCGGAAAAUAUGCCAAAAACUAGAUGCUUCCACUUGCUUGAAUAGUGUUUUUUUUUCCAAAUAGGUAGUGGUUGAAAGGGAGUUUGCAACACC
rnacentral:lncRNA from 1 species